rnacentral:rRNA from 1 species
UACGUAGGGAGCAAGCGUUGUCCGGAAUCAUUGGGCGUAAAGCGCGCGUAGGCGGCCCCGUAAGUCCGCUGUGAAAGUCAAAGGCUCAACCUUUGAAAGCCGGUGGAUACUGUGGGGCUAGAGUACGGAAGAGGCGAGUGGAAUUCCUGGUGUAGCGGUGGAAUGCGCAGAUAUCAGGAGGAACACCAAUAGCGAAGGCAGCUCGCUGGGACGUCACUGACGCUGAGGCGCGAAAGCGUGGGGAGCGAACAGG